rnacentral:rRNA from 1 species
ACGCACGCUGGCGGCAUGCCUCAUCCCUGCCAGUCGCACGAGAUCUUCGGAUCUAGUGGCGCACGGGUGCGUCACGCGUGGGAAUCUGCCCUUGGGUUCGGAAUAACUUCUGGAAACGGAAGCUAAUACCGGAUGAUGACGUAAGUCCAAAGAUUUAUCGCCCAAGGAUGAGCCCGCGUAGGAUUAGGUAGUUGGUGAGGUAAAGGCUCACCAAGCCGACGAUCCUUAGCUGGUCUGAGAGGAUGAUCAGCCACACUGGGACUGAGACACGGCCCAGACUCCUACGGGAGGCAGCAGUAGGGAAUAUUGGACAAUGGGCGAAAGCCUGAUCCAGCAAUGCCGCGUGAGUGAUGAAGGCCUUAGGGUUGUAAAGCUCUUUUACCCGGGAUGAUAAUGACAGUACCGGGAGAAUAAGCUCCGGCUAACUCCGUG